CCUACGGGUGGCAGCAGUGGAGAAUAUUGGGCAAUGGACGCAAGUCUGACCCAGCAACGCCGCGUGAAGGAAGAAGGCUUUCGGGUUGUAAACUUCUUUUAAGGGGGAAGAGCAUAAGACGGUACCCCUUGAAUAAGCCACGGCUAACUACGUGCGAGCAGCCGCGGUAAUACGUAGGUGGCAAGCGUUGGCCGGAUUUACUGGGUGUAAAGGGCGUGCAGGCGGAGAGACAAGUCAGAUGUGAAAGCCACGGGCUCAACCCGUGAACUGCAUUUGAAACUGUUUCCCUGGAGUGUCGGAGAGGGAAUCGGAAUUCCUUGUGUAGCGGGGAAAUGCGUAGAUAUAAGGAAGAACACCAGUGGCGAAGGCGGAUUACUGGACGAUAACUGACGGUGAGGCGCGAAAGCGUGGGGAGCAAACAGGAUUAGAUACCCGAGUAGUC
rnacentral:rRNA from 1 species